CACCGCGCGAACUUGCUCCACCGCCCGCCAGCAGCCAUAUUUGGAACCGAAAGAGACGCUAUUCUCGGGGAAAGAAGCUGCUGAUGCCUUACAGAACACGGAGCACUCUCAACGUUUAUUUUCCUUUGGGUCCUGUCAACCUGUGAGCUGACCCCCACCGCCCCCCCUCCCCAACCCCUAUCUCUCUCUCUCUCUCUCUUCCCCCCCCACCCCAGCCAUCGCUAUCGAGAGACUUCAGGGAUUGUGAAGAACGCAGUUGAAUGUUAAAUUUAGUUAACAAUCUCAGCAUUGUCUCAAUCAUCAGCUCAGUGCCAAACUCUCUGUGACUGACACCUCCCUUCUCUCUCUGAACAUCAGAAGCCCUCACUGUGCCUGUGCCAAAGUCAGAGGAUCAUGAAGAGGAUAUAAAAAGAGGGAAUACAAGUGGGAUAAGUAAGAGGAAAAUUGAGACAGAUGAAAUUCUGAAUAAAAUUAGUAAAGAAUCAGA